UGGGGGAUAGUUUAACUGGCAGAACUGUGGACUCUGGAUCCAUCAGUCAUGGUUCAAAUCCAUGUCCCCCAG
rnacentral:tRNA from 1 species